UCGGGCCAGCUUCUUCGGUGCCUCGAGCGCGACUGGCUAACUUCUUCCUCGGUUCCCAAGAGUCGAUCCCCUUGGGUAUUCUGCCCGUGGGGCAAAUUAGGAGAUUGAGCUUGUGAAGAUUCCUCUACAUCUUGUCGCCGCGUGUUGGUCCUCGAGCGAGUUGGUGGGCGUCGAUCAUCAUCUUCUACCCGCAAGGAGGGUCGCUCAGGUCGACGUCUUUGGUAUCUCGAGCGCGACUGGCUAACUUCUUCCUCAGUUCCCAAGGGUCGAUCCCCUUGGGUGCCCUGCCUAUGGGGCGGAUUAGGAGAUUGAGCUUGUGAGUAUUCCUCUACAGCUUGCCGCCGCGUGUUGGCUCCCGAGCGGGCUAGUGGGCGUCGGUCGUUGCGCUCGUUAUGCGACUGCUCACGAACUCGAGCUCCUUGUGGGCCCAAGAGGGCGUGGACAUUAGACUAUGGGCCUAGCCUCUCUAGCACAUUGGUCCUUGGUCCUAGCCUCGAACGGCUUAGAGUACGGCUUGCGGCUGUCUGCGUCUCAUCUGCUCGAUCUCACUCUCUC
rnacentral:lncRNA from 1 species